rnacentral:rRNA from 1 species
GAUGAACGCUGGCGGCGUGCCUAAUACAUGCAAGUCGAGCGAAUGAUGAGGAGCUUGCUCCUCUGAUUUAGCGGCGGACGGGUGAGUAACACGUGGGUAAUCUGCCUGUAAGACGGGGAUAACUCCGGGAAACCGGGGCUAAUACCGGAUAAUAAGAGAAGAAGCAUUUCUUCUUUUUGAAAGUCGGUUUCGGCUGACACUUACAGAUGAGCCCGCGGCGCAUUAGCUAGUUGGUGAGGUAACGGCUCACCAAGGCGACGAUGCGUAGCCGACCUGAGAGGGUGAUCGGCCACACUGGGACUGAGACACGGCCCAGACUCCUACGGGAGGCAGCAGUAGGGAAUCUUCGGCAAUGGGCGAAAGCCUGACCGAGCAACGCCGCGUGAGCGAUGAAGGCCUUCGGGUCGUAAAGCUCUGUUGUUAGAGAAGAACAAGUACGAGAGUAACUGCUCGUACCUUGACGGUACCUAACCAGAAAGCCACGGCUAACUACGUGCCAGCCGCCGCCGUAACAC